ensembl:lncRNA
UCUGCAGGUGAAGGCAGAAAGUAUGUGUGAGCUGAUGUGAAUUCAGCAGCAUGGAUCAGUAUGAGGACAGAGAGGAGGGAGCCCCUCCUGCUAAAACCACUCUGUGUGGGGAACAUGAGAGCCAGACCAAAGCUCAGAGGAACCAACCUGGACCUCCACCCAGCUGUGUGUAUUUAAAGAGUGACCAGUCUAAACAUGAAGCCAUUGACUUUAAAAAGGGGAAGACCUCUGCUGCAUGCAGUUUUCAGUGGGAGAAAGGAUGCUGAAUGGAUUAUAGGGACAAGUGGAUGAGAAAUGUGUCUGACAGUCAAAUGACUCAGAGACAAACAACAGAGGCUUGAACUUUCCUGUGACGCUGAUACUAAUCCUGCUAGUGGAACUGAUCACAGCCAUGGAAACAGCAAAACAGAAACA